UCAUUUAAUCCAUUGGGCAGACUUGCGGAUCCGUAGCUCUCGCCGAUCCAGUAGCUUUGUGGCUGCGGCUUCUGUGGGCUCGGAGUCGAGUGCCCUGUGAUCUCGCGGCCUCCAGUCGUCUCAUUCCAGUCCCGACACGCGCCGACCCAUGAAGCGGAAUAGCUCGUCAAAAUAGUUACAAUAUUUUGGUGUCAACCCACAGCGAUUGAAACUCUUUGGUACAACAAUAUGGCCAUCCACAACUGAUCGGUUCAAAAGUGUCAAUCAAUUGAACAUUUUGACGGCUCAUAAGAAGGUGCUAAAACUACUUAAGCUGAAACGUGCCGAACGGGCGAAAUUCAAUCAAAGAAUUCACGAUGCGUUUCAAUUUCUCCAGCCACUCGGCGGCGCCCACCUCGACGGCGACGACCACUACGCAGGCCAAUGGUGGCGACAAGGCAGCCCAGCCCCUGAAGAAGGCCAUCGAGGCGGAUCCCGACUCGCUGGACAGCGUGAUCAGCAACCCGCACUCCUACCCCAUCACCAUAGUGCCCAAUCGGCCGACCAGCUUCUACGGCCUCUCCGCAAAUGGCAAGGGGUUCCAGCGGCAGCCGAGCUGCAGAUCUCGCAAUUUCCGGCCUGGCAGCAUGCGUCGAGUGCGCAGACGUGCUGUGUUCAAGAAUGGCGACUGCAACGUGGUGCAGAAGCACCUCCAAAGGCGUCGCGUGCGCUUCCUGCAGGACAUGUACACCACCAUGGUGGACUGGCAAUGGCGAUGGACAUUGCUGGCCUUCGCCCUGAGCUUUAUUCUGUCUUGGCUCUUCUUCGCGCUCAUCUGGUGGCUGAUCAUUUACACACACGGCGAUCUGGAGGAGCUUCAUCUGCCGGAUAACCAGGAGGAGUCUGGCUGGGCGCCCUGUGUCUCCGCCAUUGACGGCUUCACCUCCUGCUUCCUGUUCUCCAUCGAGACGCAACAUACAAUCGGCUACGGAGUGCGCACCACCUCGCCCGAGUGUCCCGAGGCCAUCUUCAUGAUGUGCUUCCAGUCCAUCUACGGCGUAAUGUCCUCUGCAUUCAUGGCCGGAAUAGUGUUCGCCAAGAUGACGCGGGCCAAGCAACGGGCUCAGACGCUGCUCUUCUCAAAGCACGCGGUCAUUUGCCAGCGGGACGGCUGCCUGUCGCUGAUGUUUAGGGUGGGAGACAUGCGCAAGUCCCACAUCAUCGGAGCUGGGGUGAGGGCUCAGCUGAUUCGCACCAAGAGCACCAAGGAGGGCGAGGUGAUGACUCAGUACUUCACGGAGCUGGAGAUUGGCACCGAUGACUCCGGCUCGGAUCUGUUCUUCAUCUGGCCGAUGGUCAUUGAGCACAAGAUUGACGAGAACUCGCCGCUGUACAACCUGAACGCCACCGACAUGCUGCAGGACAAAUUCGAAAUUGUUGUCAUACUGGAGGGCACCGUGGAGUCCACCGGCCAGAGCACCCAGGCCAGGUCCAGCUACAUCAACACUGAGAUCCUGUGGGGCCACCGCUUCGACCCGGUGGUGCUGUACAACAAGGACCUGCAGGCCUACGAGAUCGACUACGGUCGCUUCAACGAGACCACCCAGGUGGAUACGCCCCUGUGCAGUGCUCGGGAGCUGAACGAGAUCUAUAAGAUCCAGGAGGGCUUCCGCACCCCAGCAGAAACCACCUUUACCAUGCGUCAACUGUCCCACAACCAUUCCGAUCAGGCCUCCUAACGCAGUGUUUUGUCCCAUGUGUUGGCAUAGCUCAUAAGCGUCAUUGUUAUAUCCUCCCCCUCCUCGAUACACAGCUCCAGUUCUGGCUAUCAGUUCCCCGGGAAUCCCAAUCGCCUGCGCUGGCAGCUCUCGGUGCCCUUGUAGAGUUACCCGACUAUUUUGACACUUGCGAGCGAGCUACUGGCACCCCUACGAAAAUAAGUUAAUAAACGCUUUAGUUCGAGUCUUGAGCAUA